GUCCAGACUCCUACGGGAGGCAGCAGUGGGGGAUAUUGCACAAUGGGGGGAACCCUGAUGCAGCGACGCCGCGUGGGUGAAGAAGCGCCUCGGCGCGUAAAGCCCUGUCAGCAGGGAAGAAAAUGACGGUACCUGACUAAGAAGCCCCGGCUAACUACGUGCCAGCAGCCGCGGUAAUACGUAGGGGGCAAGCGUUAUCCGGAUUUACUGGGUGUAAAGGGAGCGUAGGCGGCAAUGCAAGCCAGAUGUGAAAGCCCGGGGCGCAACCCCGGGACUGCAUUUGGAACUGUGUAGCUGGAGUGUCGGAGAGGCAGGCGGAAUUCCUAGUGUAGCGGUGAAAUGCGUAGAUAUUAGGAGGAACACCAGUGGCGAAGGCGGCCUGCUGGGCUUUAACUAACGCUGAGGCUCGAAAGCGUGGGGAGCAAACAGGAUUAGAUACCCGUGUAAU
rnacentral:rRNA from 1 species